UGCGUAGGCGGUCCCGCAAGUCCGUUGUGAAAGCCCCGGGCUUAACCUGGGAAUGGCAGUGGAAACUAGGGGACUUGAAUCUGGCAGAGGGGGGUGGAAUGCCACGUGUAGCAGUGAAAUGCGUAGAGAUGUGGCGGAACACCGAUGGCGAAGGCAGCCCCCUGGGCUGAGAUUGACGCUCAGGCACGAAAGCGUGGGGAGCAAACAGGAUUAGAUACCCUGGUAGUCCACGCCCUAAACGAUGAUCACUAGGUGUUGGGGAAGCGAUUUCUCAGUACCGCAGCUAACGCGUGAAGUGAUCCGCCUGGGGAGUACGGUCGCAAGAUUAAAA
rnacentral:rRNA from 1 species